rnacentral:lncRNA from 1 species
GGCAAUGCAAGUGUGGCCGGCAUUGCUUACAGCCACAGGCAAGAAACCGGACCAAGCUAGAAAGAAUAAUAUGGCGUCCAAGUCCAGCAUCACCCCCCUCCUCUUGGCCGCAGUCCUGGCCUCCGUCUUUGCCGCCGCCGCAGCCACAGGUCAAUAUUGCUACGCGGGGAUGGGUCUUCCGAGCAAUCCGCUUGAAGGCUGCCGGGAGUAUGUCGCACAACAGACCUGCGGCGUCAGCAUCGCCGGGUCGCCG